rnacentral:rRNA from 1 species
CGCGGCCUAUCAGCUUGUUGGUGGGGUGAUGGCCUACCAAGGCGACGACGGGUAGCCGGCCUGAGAGGGUGUCCGGCCACACUGGGACUGAGAUACGGCCCAGACUCCUACGGGAGGCAGCAGUGGGGAAUAUUGCACCAUGGGCGCAAGCCUGAUGCAGCGACGCCGCGUGGGGGAUGACGGCCUUCGGGUUGUAAACCUCUUUCACCAUCGGCGAAGCCGGGAGCUUUUGUUUCUGGUGACGGUAGGUGGAGAAGAAGCACCGGCCAACUACGUGCCAGCAGCCGCGGUAAUACGUAGGGUGCGAGCGUUGUCCGGAAUUACUGGGCGUAAAGAGCUCGUAGGUGGUUUGUCGCGUUGUUCGUGAAAUCUCACGGCUUAACUGUGAGCGUGCGGGCGAUACGGGCAGACUGGAGUACUGCAGGGGAGACUGGAAUUCCUGGUGUAGCGGCGGAAUGCGCAGAUAUCAGGAGGAACACCGGUGGCGAAGGCGGGUCUCUGGGCAGUAACUGACGCUGAGGAGCGAAAGCGUGGGGAGCGAACAGGAUUAGAUACCCUGGUAGUCCACGCCGUAAACGGUGGGUACUAGGUGUGGGUUUCCUUCCUUGGGAUCCGUGCCGUAGCUAACGCAUUAAGUACCCCGCC